rnacentral:rRNA from 1 species
CCCUAUGGGGUGCAGCACGAUCCAAAAGAACUUCAAAAGACCAAUGAUCCGAGAGAGCUCCCCAGUUGCUACGCCAACCGUGUCUGUCCAGGGUUAUUUAUACCUGGUUGAUUUUGGAACUGGAAGUUCCCAACGAUUCCAUCGGGUCAACAAAGCCAAGGAAUGUUCAUGUGGCGCGACUUAUUGCCAAGCGAUUGAGGCGGUGUGGCUAUAUCUUCAAGCUGGUGGCGCUCGCGCCCCUGACCCAGAAGGAAUGCCACCCUGUCCGAUUUGCGGAAGCAAAACCUACUGUGAUCGAAAUUGGGACGGUAAAUACACAAAGGAAUUGGCGGGAGGGC